AACGGCCGCCCCUCAACCCGGCCGGCCCCGCCUCGCCGGAACCAUUCACCCGCCCCGCGCCAUGACACCUACUGAGGCGGAAGUGCAGCUGAAUGGACUCUCUAGGACGAUCGCAUAGUACUGAUUGCAGUGGGAGUCGGUGGGCCUCGAGUGGGUGGGCCUCCGUAGGGAGCCAGCAUGGAUCGAGUGCGGGGGCUGGACUUCCCGCCCCCUCCGCACUGUAGACUGCGGUGAUUUAAAGGUGCCUGGCGGUGGUACGGGAUCCAACUGUAAAAUGUCAUCCCAGCUAGUGUGACAUCACCACAGUCUAGUGUGACACCCCCAGAGCUUGGGCAGUGUACGGGAAGACAGUGCCUAGCAGAGGAGCUUCACUGCCGGUGAGGGAUUACCUCAGGUUAGGCUUUAAUGUUUCGUUGCCGUCUAGAGACGUUCUAGCAAUGUGACAUCUGUGUACCAUAUCUGGAAGUCUCCCUGUACGUCAAGAGCCCCUUAGGGGAGUCUCCCAUUGCCGCCGUGGGAACCUGUGUUUACAUUACGAGGAGAGAGAAUAGCUGUACUCUGAACUCAAACGCUCAAAACGUGCAAACUUCCUUCUACUACUUAAAGUCCUCACAUUGGGCUGACCUGGGAAACAUGAAGAUAAAAAGAGUGGGUAAACAUGCCUGCUUCAUGAGCCAGAAAAAAAGGCAGAAACCUGUGGUCUGGGUAGAACAGAUCCUGCUCAGAAGUAUAAACCAGGAAAAGUUGUUCUGGCCCCUCAUCUGGUUUCAUGAAGGACAAUAUCUAGCAUGAGAGUGACAGGGGUUAGAAUAAUGGACAUUUUGGGGACUGGGUCCUAGCAGAAAUGAUGGAAUAAUGGAACAGGAGUUUGGAUGAAUGGGCAUAUUAUGGGAUUAAAGAAGAUUUGAAUACAAGCUUUCCUAAUAAAUGAAAGGGGAGGUGAAACUAGAGCAUGCUGAUGGCUGUACAGCAUUGUGAAUGCACUAAAUGCACUAACUGUCCACUUUAAAAUGUUUAGUAAUAUGUCGAUUUUACCUAAAUAAAAAAAAGGAAGCAACAUAGUGAGUCCUCGUCUCUAUAACAAUUUUAU
rnacentral:lncRNA from 1 species